GGCGGUGCAAAUGGUUAAUACAUUUGGCUGUUAACCAAAAGAUUGGUGGUUCCAGUCCACCCAGAGUCA
rnacentral:tRNA from 1 species